UAAGGUAUUUCUCGCUACAAUUAAUUGGUGACAACUCUGUUCUGUUCCACUACAGGUAUCUCUUGAUAUUGGACCGCACGAACUGGAAGACCAACAUGCUGACAGCUCUCUUGGUUCCUUACAUUUUCUUCACUCUGCCUAAUGUGCUGUUUUCUCUGAUCAGAGGAGAGGUGGGGAAAUGGAUUGCGAUUAUUGCUGUUAUUCUACGCCUAUUUUUUCCGCGCCACUUCCCAGGUACAUCUCCAGCCUAUUGGUUUCAGCCUAUCAAAUUUCCAGAUAUUGGUUUCACUUACAUUUUAUUAACAUUUUGCGGUUUUGCCCUUCAAAUAAAAUAGCCACGGUUCAUACAUUUUGCUUAGCGACUCUUUAGCAUGGUUUCAUCCUGUGCACCAGAUUGGUUAGAGCUUCCCGGUUCCAUCAUCCUGCUCACAGCGGUCGCCCCAGUCUGUUCGCACACACCUUCAGGGACGACCUCGUCGGUGUCUUCAUAUGCCUUGCGAUCGGAUGCUACCUGCUCCAAGAGCACAUCAGGGCGUCAGAUGGACUCAGGAACGCCUUCAGGAAGGGCAAUGGCGUGUCCAACUCCAUUGGCAUCCUCCUGCUCUUCAUCUACCCUGUCUGGACCGGGGUGCUGCGAAUCCUGUAGGCACUGUUGCCUCCGUGUUCCCGUAUGCUGUCCAGGCAUCCAGCUCCGUUGUCGUUCGUCUCUUGUGCAAAUGUUUCUUCUAUGGUGAUCGUGGUUCUGUGCUAUCGGGAUGGGAUGUAAAUCGAGAUGUUGGCCAUAUUAUCAGGCGUGUAAACCCUUGCCGCUUCUGUUAAGUUGUCGCAAGUUUGAGGAUGGGUGUUUAUAGCAACUACUGUAUAUCAUUUGAUGUUA